rnacentral:sRNA from 1 species
CUUUCGUGUAAUUCAAGUCUUCUGCAUAUUUUCCCGUUUUGUGAACAGGUACUGGUGGAGAAUGGAACAAAAGCUGGGCACAGCCUUCUCAUGGAUGCCAGGGAUCUGGUCCUUAAGGGAAAAGAGAAGUCACCUUUGGACCCUCGACCUGGUUUUGUCUUUGCCCCGGUGAGUAUUACUUCUGCCUGUCCCACCACACAGAUCUGAACUUAGUCGUGGCCAGGAAAAGUAAGAUGGUAAAGCUAAGCCACUCUCCACUACUUUGUGUUCCUAUCCAGUUCCUACCUAAUAAUUCCCCUGGCUCUUCCUACCCACUGCUCCUGUCCUCCCUUCUCCCUGGCCCCUUUUGACUCUAUUAUUCUCAGUUUUUAAGUUUUGUGAUUGAUGGCUCUUUUGUCUUACCUCAUUUUUUUAUGUAUUCACAGUGUCCCCAUGAACUCCCUUGUCCCCAGUUGACCAACCUGGCCUGUAGCUUCUCACAGGCGUACCAUCCCAUCCCCUUCAGCUGGAACAAGAAACCAAAGGAAGAAAAGUUCUCUAUGGUGAUCCUUGCUCGGGGGUCUCCAGAGGAGGCUAAUCGCUGGCCCCGUAUCACUCAGCCUGUCCUUAAACGGCCUCGCCAUGUGCAUUGUCACUUGUGCUGUUCAGAUGGGCACAUGCAGCAUGCUGUGAUCACAGCCCGCCGGCACGGCAGGUAUGGGGGCUGUGACCAAAAUUAGUGGGAUGUGGCAGGAAGCUGCAGCCCACGCUAGCAUCUCGUUUCCACAGGGAUUUGUAUCGUUGUGCCCGUGUCAGCUCCUGGGGAGAUCUUUUACCUGUGCUUACUCCGUCUGCGUUUCCUCCAUCUACUGCUCAGGAUCCCUCUGAGAGUUGACGAGGAUGUGUAACAAGUAUUUUCUUCUAUCAUGCCUGCCAGGGCUGAAGCUGCCUGGUAUCCAGGAGGGGAAUGCUGGUAUCCCCAUAUGUCUGUGUUUGUUUGAGAUUUUUAA